rnacentral:lncRNA from 1 species
AAUAUCGUUCUCUUCUCGAACGAUCAGUUUGUUUCUUCAUAGAGACCAUCGCCCACUUGUCGUGGAUGAAGUGCUUAUUCUCAUAUAUAGAAAUAAUCAAUGGAUCUUUUCUUUGAUUCUAUAAACUCGUGUAUGUGUUUCCUCUUAUCAUUGUCCCGCAUUUUUCUAAAUGACAUGAUGGUGCUGAUAUAAAAAUAAGUUAUUGGAAAUUAGCACAAAGAUACAUAAUCGCUCCAAUAAAAUCUUCAUCAAUUAUCUCUAAAAAAUUAUCCAUUAUCAUGGCAAAAUCAGUAACUUAUCUCAUCGUGCUUCUUGACGCUGACGUGUAAGAAUCGACGAUUGGGCAUGUCCGCCUCUCCGGCUAGAGUUAUCGACGAUUGGGCAUGUCCGCCUCUCCGGCUAGAGUUGAAGGCAACAAGCCGGCAGCCGGCAGCGCUGCUCUUCCUGGCUGAACCUACGUGGCGGCGAUCAGACACCACUGGAAUCGAUCAGCAACCUGGGUGACACUGACACAGCCAUAGUAGAUCCAAUCGCCAAAGGUUGUUUUGUUUCUCAUGCCUCCUAUAUUCCUGGUCAAAUCGAUAUUGUAAUGUACGGCUGCAAUGCCUCCGUAGAGGUUUGUUUUUCUAGGCUGAUGCCCACGUACGCGAACUCUCCAUCCUAUCCUUAAUCAAUCGAUGCUCAGACCACCGAUGUCCUUAUAUGUUUUUCUAGGCUAUACGGCAUGUGAAAUGACCUCGCUGCCUUUAUAUGUUUUGUUGUACCGAAGCGCGGCUUGGCAAUGUUUCCC